rnacentral:lncRNA from 10 species
CCCAGAGAAGGGAUCGACUUACCCAUCAUGCCACAGAGAUUAAUUGGCCCCAGAAUUCUUUAGCAGACCGUGUAUAUGAACGUCCUUUGCAAUCAUAUAAAUUAACUGGGAAAACCUCAUUUAGUAUGUUACAUGCCUAGCGUUUUGUGCCUGAACACCUUACAAGAACCAGGGACUAUUGCCCCAAUAUUAUAUUUCAGGAAAGGAAGGCCCAGACAAAUGGUGUCACUGGUCCACUUUCACCCAGUUGGUAAAUGAAACCAGAAAUUAUAGCUGUACCACAGAAAGGUGAAAACGUUUCUUUUAUAAUUUCACAUACAAUCUUUAAUGGACCCAGUGUCCAACACAUUAAAGCAAGUGCUCAGGAGUGACAUCAAGAUGUAAAAAAUAGUCCUGUCCUCAGGGAGUUUAGGUCUUGGAGAAAAGAGACCCAAGGAGACACAAGACAAAGGGGAAAGAGAAGGAGCGCUGAAGACUGAGGACCCUGCCUGUGGACUGAAGUGAGGAUGGGGACACCCGAUGCCCGGAAUAUGACAGUUUGGAGGGGCCUGAAGGACUCUUCUAUUCUCUAUCAGAAAAACAGAAUUACUCUCCUAACCAGAAAAGGUAUUUCAAUUUAUAUUUUCCAUCACAGCACUUUUCUGGUGAUAAUUUAAUGUGUUUUAAAAAAUGUAUCACAGUGAUGGCCUGGUGUGAAAUAAAUAAUAAAAUUUUAAGAAUUAAAAAAUAUAAAAAUCUUUUAUAUAGACAUUAGGAGUUACAAGGAUAACUGUGAAUUAUAAUUAGUAAUUAAAUUGAAAUACUGAUUAUUUUCAUUUUUAUUUAAUUAUUUAAUAAAACCUAUUUAACAUUUAAUAUUUAUCAGUAAUUAAAUCUAAUUGUUAAUAUUUAUUAUUAUAAAUUAUUUUAGAAUUAAAAAUAAGUGUAGAAGCGAGGCAUGGUGGCUCAAGCCUGUAAUCCCAACACUUUGGGAGGCUAAGGUGGGAGGAUUGCUUGAGCCCAGUAGUUCAAGACCAGCCUGGGCAACAUGGAGAAACCCUGUCUCAAUACAAAAAAAUGAGCCAUGUGUGGUGGUGCGUGCCUGUAGUCCCAGCCAUUCUGGAGGCUGAGGUGGGAGGAUGACUUGAGCCUAGGCAGUCAAGGCUGCAGUGAGCCCUGAUCUUGCCACUGCACUCCAGUCUGGGCAACAGAGCAAGACCCUGUGUCAAUAUACAUAUGGACAAACUUAAAAUUUAAAAUGAAAGCAUACUACUGAUACAGAAUUGAGUAGAGAUGCAAAGCUAGUCCUAUAACCAGAACAAUAAAGAUAAAAAGGAGAGUGGAAGAAGGUAUGUCAUGAAUUUCAUGAUAAAUGGCAAUUGCAAAUAUCCUGUAGCAGAACAAAACAACAAAACUGUAGAUAAAACAUAUCCAACCCUUUGGAAGGCCAAGGAGGGAGGAUUGUUUGAGCCCAGAAGUUGGAGACCAGCCUGGGCAACAUAGUGAGACCCUGUAUCUAAAAAGGAAGAAAGAAAAAAAAAAAAAGGAUGAUAAAGUAGACAAUAUUGAAAGCCAUUUUCUGCAAAUACAUAGUGAAUUUGAUCAGUAAUUUUCUUCCAACAGUGCAAAAAUGAAUAGAUAUUAGUUGCCUGAAAUAAAAAUCAAAUAUCCAACAAAAAAUAUUGACUAUCUAAUAGUAUCUAAGCUAGUAAAUUUGGCCAGUUAUAAAAUGUCUUAAAUUUUUAUUUAAAAAAAGAAAACCAUAUUUAUAAGAAGAGGUGAUAAAGAGAAAUUAUUUCAGUUAUGAAGAUUUUGUUAGAAAACUAUGAGAAAAAAACUAUUUUUUGUUUUCAAAAAGUGAAAGAUUAAGUUACCAAACAGUUGCUAAAGAAUACCAGAUGGCUGAGCGUGGUGACUUAUGCCUGUAAUCCCAGUACUUUGGAAGGCCAAGGCAGGAGGAUCAUUUUAGGCCUGGAGUUCGAGACCAGCCUGGGCACUGUAGCAAGACCCGUCUCUAUUAAAAAAAAAAAAAAAAAAAAAAAAGAAUACAAGACCUUGCUAACAAUAGCAAAGAUCAAUUAAUUCAAAAUUUGAAAAACUGUAAUUUAUUUAGCUUUAGAGUACUCUCGUGAUAUGAGAUUGCCAAAUUAAUACUUUGGGUGCAUUUCUUUUCUCAAAGGACUUGCAAAUUUACAAAGAAGUGUUGAAGAAAAGCCACACAUUGGCAGGUAAUGUUUGCAAAAGACAGAUCUGAUGAAGAACAAUAUUUUUAGAAUAUACAAAGAAUACUUAAAACUCAACAGUAAGAAAAUAACCUGAUUUAAAGCAGGCCAAUGACCUGAACAUCUGUUCACCAAAGAAGAUACACAGAUGCAAGUAUGCAUAUGAAAAGAUGCUUGACAUCAUGUCAUUAGGGAACUGCAAAUUAAAACAAGUAGAUACCACUGCAUACCUAGUAGAAUGACCAAAAUUUAGAACACUGUCAGCACCAAAGGUUGCAAAGAUAUGUAGCAAUAGUAACUUGUUCAUUACUGGUGAGAAUGCAAAAUGUGCAAUCACUUUGGAAGACAGUUUGGUGGUUUCUUACAAAAGUAACCAUACUUUUACCAUAAGAUUCACCAAUCACACUCCUUAGUAUUUAUCCAAAGGAAUUGAAAACUUAUCUCCACACAAAAACCUGCACAUAGAUGUUUAUAGCAGCUUUAUUCAUAAUUUAUCCAAAACUUGGAAACAAGAUGUCUUUCAGUAGGUAAGUGGAUAACUGUGGUACUUCUGAAUAAUGGAAUGUUAUUUAGAGUUAAAAAGAAAUGCAUUCACUUUGGGAGUACUGAGAUGAAUACUCAAAAGAGGAUUUAGAACUUGGGCUUAUAUAGCAUUUUAAGAAAAGAAUACAUUUUUUAAGUGACAAGGAAGACGAAAAGGACUUUGAGUUUCUAGUGCAGUAAAUUGUGGGAAGGCAACUUUUUCUUUCCCUUUUUUUUUUUUUUUUUUUAAAAAAAAAGACUUCUCUGGUGCUAUGUCCAGGCUGAUAAGAGUCUAAAGUCUCUGGUGACUAACUUUUGUUCUUCCCCGAGUAAGAAGACACCUUCACAAUUUCAUAUCCUGCUUUUAGGCAAAUAGGGAGAGGGCAGAGGUGUUUGUUUGUUUUUAAUCUAUUUUUUUUCUCAAUUGUCUUCAACUCAAAAUACUUCUUAUGCCAAAGAUGGCAUAUUCUGCUACCCUUCACUUACUACUUACAACCCAGCCUCUAUCAUCAUAAUUAGAACUUCUGACCCUGGGGAACAUGGGCAAUAGUUUGAACUCUUUUAUAUCUCCCUUAGGCAGAGAUGGAGGCACAGCAUGAUCUUGGCUUACUGCAGCUGCUGCAGGCUCAAGCAAUUCUCC